rnacentral:lncRNA from 1 species
AUGUUGGGAAAGCACAAGAAAACCAGUCCCUUGCCACCGCUCCUGAAGUCAGGGAGCACUGCCGGCCUGCAGGAAAUUCCGCUGAUUCUGGUGGGCGGAGAAUGCGAGGCAGGGGGGAAACGAAGUGACUCCCAUUCCUGGUGCACAGAAGACCUUCGGCUCAUCCACCCACGGGGAUCCUGGGAGCCCCACCACAUCACCAGAAUGAGUGGGGCCUCCCCUCCGUGUUUCCACUCACGGCCUGAGCGAAAUGGCUCCUCCAGCAAAGCGCUCGGGACGAUGGCAGGCACACGGAGCUCCAGCUGGGUGGGCCACUCAGCUACACGGAAACGGACAGGAUGCAGACACAGCUGUGGGGGCAGAAUUCCACUGUCACCCUGGAAGAAAAUGGUGACAAAGAGAGAUGGCUUCCUAAGGAAUUGAGGAAAUCUCACCUCGGGGGGCAACACAAAGGUACUAAUGCCUGGGUUGGCUCAUUUCUGGCAGAAUGGCCCUGGCUGACAGGUGUGGUUUGGCAUGUAUGCGUGGCUCUUCCAGCCCCUGGAGUGAGGCCCUCCCCCAGAGAUCAGUCCUGUGGGCGGUCACAAUGUGAUCAUGUUCUCAGUGAACCUCUGCUUAUCACUGCAAAAGUGUUACUGACGAUUAAGCAGCGAGAUAAUGACCAAACCGGAGGGAUCUGCCAUUUUUUGUUUUAAGUUUUUAUUGAUUUUGAGAUAGGGUAGGUCAGGGGAGGUGCAGAGAAAGAGGAAGAGAGAGAAUCCCAAGCAGGCUCCACACUGUCCUUGCAGAGCCCGACGUGGGGCUCGAACUCAUGAACUGCGAGAUCACGACCUGAGCCAAAACCAAGAGUCAGACGCUUAACCAACUGAGCCACCCAGGUGCUCCGGGGUCUGCCAUUUUAAUGGGGGCAGAGCAAAGAGGGAAACCAGUAAGAUGAAGGAAAGUAGCUCUGGAAUCCAGAAGACUUGGGUGUGAGCUCCACCUGUACCACUGCCUUGCACAAGCUGUGCUGCUUUGCCGGAACUCAGUUUUCUCAUCUGUGACAUGGGAAUCAUAAUCUUUCUCGUCUGCUGUGGUUGUGGUGAGGUCCGAGUGAGAUAUUUAUCUGUAAAGGUACUUGGUUAACGGUAAAUGCUAUACUCUUGUAGUAGGACGUUAUUGCUAGCUGUCCCUCUCGAAGUUUAUCUCAAGGACUUUUAAAGUUGGGAAGGGAAUUCUCAGCUGUACCUCAGAUGACAGAGUUUGGGACAGCCCCGCACCCACCGUGUCGCUUUGGGAGAGUAGGUGCGUCCUCCAGUCUCGGGCCAGAGUAGCCCUUCGGAACUGAACAGCUGUGUGCUUGCUUGAAACCUGAAAACUUCCAACCUGAUGGAAAUAAAGCCUUUCCAUUGAAUCA